AGUGAACGCUGGCGGUAGGCCUAACACAUGCAAGUCGAACGGCAGCACAGGAGAGCUUGCUCUCUGGGUGGCGAGUGGCGGACGGGUGAGGAAUACAUCGGAAUCUACUCUGUCGUGGGGGAUAACGUAGGGAAACUUACGCUAAUACCGCAUACGACCUACGGGUGAAAGCAGGGGACCUUCGGGCCUUGCGCGAUUGAAUGAGCCGAUGUCGGAUUAGCUAGUUGGCGGGGUAAAGGCCCACCAAGGCGACGAUCCGUAGCUGGUCUGAGAGGAUGUUCAGCCCCACUGGAACUGAGACUCGGGCCAGACUCCUACGGGAGGCAGCAGUGGGGAUUAUUGGACAAUGGGCGCAAGCCUGAUCCAGCCAUACUGCGUGGGUGAAGAAGGCCUUCGGGUUGUAAAGCCCUUUUGUUGGGAAAGAAAUCCAGCUGGCUAAUACCCGGUUGGGAUGACGGUACCCAAAGAAUAAGCACCGGCUAACUUCGUGCCAGCAGCCGCCGUAA
rnacentral:rRNA from 1 species